rnacentral:rRNA from 1 species
UGGAGUGAUUUGUCUGCUUAAUUGCGUUAACGAACGAGACCUCAGCCUGCUAAAUAGACCGGCCUAUCUUCGGAUAAGUCGCUGUCUUCUUAGAGGGACUGUACCCGCUUUAGGGUAUGGAAGUUUGAGUCUAAAACAGGUCUGUAAUGCCCUUAGAUGUUCUGGGCUGCACGCGCGCUACACUGAUGCGUUCAACGAGUGUAUAACCUUACCAGAUAUGGUUGGGUAAUCUUCUGAAAACGCAUCGUGAUGGGGAUAGAUUAUUGCAAUUAUUAAUCUUCAACGAGGAAUUCCUAGUAAGCUUUAGUCAUCAGCUAAAACUGAUUACGUCCCUGCCCUUUGUACACACCGCCCGUCGCUUCUACCGAUUGAAUGAUUCGGUGAAUACUUCGGACCGAUGUUUUACAGAGUUCGCUCCGUUUAACGUUGGAAAGUUGGGUAAACCUCAUCAUUUAGAGGAAGAAGAAGUCGUAACAAGGUUUCCGUAG